UACGAAGGGGGCUAGCGUUGCUCGGAAUCACUGGGCGUAAAGCGCACGUAGGCGGAUUGUUAAGUCAGGGGGGAAAUCCUGGAGCUCAACUCCAGAACUGCCUUUGAUACUGGCGAUCUUGAGUCCGGGAGAGGUGAGUGGAACUGCGAGUGUAGAGGUGAAAUUCGUAGAUAUUCGCAAGAACACCAGUGGCGAAGGCGGCUCACUGGCCCGGUACUGACGCUGAGGCGCGAAAGCGUGGGGAGCAAACAGG
rnacentral:rRNA from 1 species